rnacentral:snRNA from 1 species
UGUGCUUUUUCUCCUGUAUACUGUACGUCGUAUAAUAAACUAAUUUAUCUGUUCUUAUCAGCUUAACCUUUGGUACGUGGCCUACACACGAAGGUUAAUCCAAUUUUUAAGACUUGUUCGAAUGUUGAAGCUUGAUUCUAUUUGACCGCGGGUUCGCCUGGCAUUGCAGUACCUCCUGGAUCUGUCUAUUCUCU